AGUUAAUUAGCUUAUCAAAGCCUGUAUUUUGAAAGUACAAGAAAAAGGAUUAACCCUUUAUUAACUU
rnacentral:tRNA from 1 species